UUAUAUCAGUUAUCGUUUACUUGAUAGUGCCUAUCCUACUUGGAUAACCGUGGUAAUUCUAGGGCUAAUACAUGCUACAACUCCCGACUUCGGAAGGGAUGCAUUUGUUGGAUACAGAACCAAUGCCCUCCGGGGCUCUCUGGUGAAUCACAACAACUUAGCGGAUCGCACGGCCUUGCGCCGGCGAUGGUUCAUUCAAAUUUCUGCCCUAUCAACUUUCGACGGCUGGGUAUUGGCCAGCCCUGGUGACAACGGGUAACGGAGGGUUAGGGCUCGACCCCGGAGAAGGAGCCUGAGAGACGGCUACUACAUCCAAGGAAGGCAGCAGGCGCGCAAAUUACCCAAUCCCGACUCGGGGAGGUACGUUCUAUCAUUUUUCUUCUCUUCUCGUCCGCUCUUUGUACGUGAUGCUAACUAUGUGCGUGCAGGUAGUGACAAUAAAUACUGAUCCAGGGCUCUUUUGGGUCUUGGAAUUGGAAUGAGUACAAUUUAAAUCCCUUAACGAGGAACAAUUGGAGGGCAAGUCUGGUGCCAGCAGCCGCGGUAAUUCCAGCUCCAAUAGCGUAUAUUAACGUUGUUGAGGUUAAAAAGCUCGUAGUUGAACCUUGGCCUCGGCUAGCCGGUCCGCCUCACCGCGAGUACUGGUUCGGCCGGGGCUUUCCCUCUGGGGAACCUCAUGCCCUUCGCUGGGUGUGCUGGGGAACCAGGACGUUUACUGUGAACAAAUCAGAUCGCUCAAAGAAGGCCUUCGCUCGAAUGCAUUAGCAUGGAAUAAUAGAAUAGG
rnacentral:rRNA from 1 species